AGUGACCAUCCUUCUUCCAGCUGUAAAGGAUGAAGCGUAUUAAGCAUUAGCCAGGCAGUAAUAAAGCUAAAUAGCCAUACAGCAGCUCUGACAAUGUUGUGCUGGAUAUUGCAGUUUGCUUUCAAGGUGCAGAUGUAAGGAUUUAAAAAAAUAAUAAUUUGGCACCAAAUAAAUAUGAGUAGCAUCCAUUGGCCUAUUAAAUCGAGUCAGGAUUUGAAGGGAAUUGAGUUUGAGAAAUGAAUAAAUAAAGGCACCUUGGUGCCUGACCCCCUCAAUCAUGCGUGUGACUUUGAGCACUCACAGGUGUGUGCAGCUACUCAGCCCAGGGCAGGUGGGUUAGCCUGGGGUUAUACCUUGGCCCUGGGAAUAGACACCAUUGGGCCUUUGGUUUUGUUGGGCUUCCUUUUGUCUUUACACUCCACACAGGUGGUAGAAAUCUGAGUUCUAAAGCACUUUUGUGAAAUACAAGCUAAGUGAGAAUUCUAAAGAAAAUGCUUUGGUUUCUGCUGUCUCAAAUAAGUGGC
rnacentral:lncRNA from 1 species